rnacentral:lncRNA from 13 species
AUUUUUAUGAAUUAUGAGGACUGUAUGACAAUUUCCUAGCAAGCCUGGAUACCCAGGUACACAUAGUUUUGUUGAAAGUGUUAUGAUUCAGAAAUAAAACAUAAUUUCUUCUUUAGGUAAGAGAGCACAAAAAUUUCAGAACAUCUGCAAUUUCUAAGUCUCUAAGAUUUCCUGUCAUCCUCCACUUGAGAGGGCUUUUCUUCUCUGGCUUCUCCUAAGGCCUAUAAUUUUUUAAAAUUUUAUAGUAAAUUUUCCAUGUUUCUUUUAAAGAGUUUGCCUAAUUUUAUUGCAACAAACUUGACUCUACCUAGUAAUGCCAGGUGGUACCCUUUGAAAUGAUACUAUCUCUAAUAUAUCCAAAUUUCUGAUGGAAUGUAAGAACCAUUCUGAUGUCAGCAUGUAUCGUUGUUACUGUAAAAUGUUGUUCCAAAUUUGACAAAGUUGUAAGAACUAAAAUUUCAGCUGUGUGUACUUGAGGGCUUCUGGAGGCAGUGACUGCUGUUUGUUUUGAGUUGGAAGCAAAAUUCCCUCAAAAUGUCAUCUGCCCUGACUAUUGUUCUAGUUGCUGGCUGGAAUGCUCGUGGGAUUGCAUCAGAUCAAGUAUAUGAUUUAUCGCGAAGGCUCUAUGUGCUCCUCAUCCAUUGCUCUAAGUACCCCUGUUCUUGACUCCAGACUGAAGGCUUCCUUUGACAGUGAUUGAUGGCCACCCUCUCACAGGAAGAAUGACUAACUCCAACCUGAUAGUCCACCACCUUACAAGUCCUCCUCACUGCAGUACAAGGCCAGAAGACAGCUCAGCUGGGAAAACCAGCUGUAGUCAGAAGUGGGGGAUCCUCACCACCAAGAAGACUAGAUGGAGAGGCUCACCGAUUAUCAGGAUGCUGGUGGGGUCCACGGAGUGGUGAUAUUUUCUUUGAUCUGUCCCCCCCAUCUCUUUUCUCUUUCUUUCUCUUUCUCUGUCUGUCUCUCUCACAUUUACUGUUAAAUAAAAUCCAUACUAUUGACUUUGACAUAUGGUCUUAUUUGCACCUUAAUUCAGGCAGAGGCAUUUCUAAUAAUUUUAAGAACUGGACCAAAACAAAGGAGCAUCAUGUUUUCAUCUGUGCUGGCAACAGCAGAAGGAUCAUAGAUAUCACUAAACUCCCCUGUGCUUGCACCACUUAUUUAAUGGAAUUUUUACCAGGGAGUGUUCACUGGAAUUUCAGAGGAAAUAUAGAUUAUCCUCUAAACCUCUAUAUCUGUAAGACAGGGAAUUUUUAUUCCUUCUCUCUCCUUACCUUCAUGCCAUGGCCUCUCCUGCUUUUGCAGUCCUGCUAGUGUUGGCUCUUCCUUUAGCAUUUCCACCAUGUCUCUUUUCUGCAGAGAAGAACUCUGCACCAGGGGGUUGGUUUUAGGUAGUGGCAAAGGGGAUAUAAGGUCCUGGAACUUCAGAGCUUAACUAAAGCUUGUUCAAGCCAAUCAGUAAUUUUGGCCAUGUGGUUUUAGAAGGUUUUUUUAAAUAAAAAUUAUUGUGCAACAGG